GGAGUUGUAGCUUAGUGGUAGAGUGCAUGCCUAGCACAUAUGAAACACUGGGUUCGAAUCUCAGCACCA
rnacentral:tRNA from 1 species